rnacentral:lncRNA from 1 species
AGAUUGACAUGAUUCCAUACCUAUGAUCUUUUCGGGAUAUUGUGUGAUCGAAGGAUUGAAUUACACGGUAACUCACCACGAAAAGAUAAUUUUGAUAUUUUCAUCAAAUUUUAAAUCUUUUGGAUAGUCAUGAUAUGUUGCUAGAUAUCAAUCUUGACUUGUGGACUCAUCAGAAUUAAAAGAGUUUAAUUCGAGAAUCA